UCCAAAACAUCUAUCUCUAGUUUUAGAAAAGGGAUUGCGGGUGUAUAUUUAUUGUUUACUCAGUGGUAGAUCAUAACAUUCUACUUCUGUGAAGUAAGUUAUGAAAUCACAGUUGUGAUGAGAACACAUAAUUCAUUUCAAAUCAAAGCCAAGUGGCACAUAUACCUUUCUUCAUAAAGUGAUGUGCUUUAUAAUGAUUUACAUGGAGUUAGUGAGAUAUGACUAGCAAUGAAUCAGAGGCUGCUAGGAAAAUUUCUGUAUCACUAAAAGUAAUUACCUAUCUCUGAAUCUCAUCCCCUUAUCUUGGGUACUGAAACACAAUAACUUCUUGAGUAAUCUCAUCUUUAUUAAUGCUGUGGUUUGUGUACAUGCAAUUAAAGCAUUCUCAAGGUAAGAUUGUUCUUUAUUCCUUAGUCAAGAACUCACCAUGGUAGUGCGUGACUAUUAUUCUUUUGCUGUUAACUCGUAUGUUUCAAACUUGAACUUCUCUCCCACACCUCCAUCUACUCCUUUCCAACUUCCUGUUGUGGAUUUACACUUACAUACACUGUCGUCGCAUCCCGCUAUGCUUGCCUGGAAAGGAAUUAAUCACCUUUCCUCCCAGUCUAGCCUACCUCUUUUGGUAAACAACACUAUUACAGCCCUCAAAAAGAAAUUUUUCAAAAAUUGAAACCACUCUUUUACUCACUCACAUCAAACCAAUCCAUUACCACCUUUCACUGAUAACCUUUGGGCUUUUCACCUCCGUCUUCUGCUCUUAUCAGUAUCUCCCUAGUUCCAGGACUUUAUUACAAACGCACAGUGAUAGCACUGCUUCCGGUUUCUUUCCUUGUUAAUCUACCCAUAUGAAUCAACAAAAUACUUUUUUCAAAAACACUAAGUAAUUUCAUUGUCCUACCCCUAAACACUAAAUGUUUCCCACUAUCUUCAUAACUGAAGAAAAAUAUUUCUGUCUGGAAUUCAAAUCUUUCUGUAACUUGGCACUAAUAAUUUUCCCAAAUGUACCACCCUUCACCGGCUCGUACUAAGUCUGGUUUCUUUUUACUGCUCUUGAAAACUUAUUUUUGACCCUCUUUCUGAGCAUUUUCUCAUCCUGUUUUACACAAAGAGGACUAUUCACCUCCACUUGAUAGCUCUUUCCAUGUUCAAAUGGAAUCGGAACUCCAUCACCUCAUAAAGCUGUCCGUAUGACUGUAAUAAAUCUGUACGAUAUCUUACACUUAGAUCAGUUCUACACACUUUGAUAGACCAUAAUAUUUGUGCUCACUUCAGCAGCACAUAUACUAAAAAAACAGAUCAUAAUAUUCUACGUGUACGGCUCUUUCAUUUUUCAUGUUUUGUUUUUGUCUUGCUAAUGGGAUUGUAACUUUCUUGAGGAAAAAUGCCAUAUUUUUACUCUGACGGUAUCCCAAAGAAUAUAACAUGAUGUUGAUUUUCUACUGAGAAUUGCUACUGCUUCAAAGUUAAGAAUGAAAAAAGAAUCCCGAGUCUUGCCAAUUGUAGGUCUCAGAAUUUCUGGGCAUCCAAAUCUGAUUGUGAAAUCCUGGAGAGAAAGAAGUCUUCAAGGUAAAUGCUUUCUUAUGGACAUUCUUGGCCACCAGCCAUUUGGCCACUUCUAGUAAUACUGGAAAUCAGUAGAUACUACCUUGGUAUUUGAUAUUUAGACAAUAAACAUUCAGUUACCACCCUC